UACGUAGGGUGCAAGCGUUAAUCGGAAUUACUGGGCGUAAAGCGUGCGCAGGCGGUUUUGUAAGUUUGUCGUGAAAUCCCCGGGCUCAACCUGGGAAUGGCGAUGAAGACUGCAAGGCUAGAAUCUGGCAGAGGGGGGUAGAAUUCCACGUGUAGCAGUGAAAUGCGUAGAGAUGUGGAGGAACACCGAUGGCGAAGGCAGCCCCCUGGGUCAAGAUUGACGCUCAUG
rnacentral:rRNA from 1 species